AUUAAUAUUAGUGUUGAUUACACCCUAUUGAUGUUUUCAAUGGACCCAUUGCCUCUCUAACCGAUGUCUGUUAGAAUCUUAGAAUAUUUAUGGAAAGAUUAAGGAAAUAUUUUUAUUCUAUUUAUUCUCCCUUGUAACUAUUGUAUUUUUCAUCACAAAAUAAUAAGAAAAAUAUUGUGGUUUUUCUCCCGUUACUCGGGUUUCCACGUAAAGUUGUGUGCUUGUUUGUCUCCCUUUCAAUAUGGUGUCAGAGCAGAACAUUGAACAAAUCCUAAACAACAAAACUAGUGAUGAAAAUCACACAGAGGAGACAACCACCAGUUUUAGUGUCGUCAUCGCCACUGCUGUUGAUGCUCAGAUUAAUGCUGCCAUGGACGAAUGGUUCCGUCACCUUCAGAAAAUGUUGGGAACAAAAUAUAGCAGAUCUUAUCGUCGUUCGCGCUGGCAAAAACCGCCUACGUACCACCCUUGUGCAGCUGCUAGAAGUUCACGCGUCGCCGUUGGAGCUACACGCGCCGGCCCACUCUGUUUAGACGUCGUUGGCCAACCUAAUCGUGCCACCCUCGUCUCCAUCCGCUGCUUGUAGUGUUUCCCACGUGUUGAUUCGUGUUUUGCCACCUACUUUCAGUCGGCGAUACCGCUUCUGUAGUCAAAUGUGUAUGCUCUGCCACCCAAUGACCUUAGCUAUUAUCUUGAUGAUAAGAAUCUUCAAAUUCACUCAACAUUUGAGGUUGGUGAAUUUUCAACACAUUCCAACUCUAUCGUGCAAGCUUCUUCAUUGGGAAUAACUCAGCAACAACGGGAAGGACUUCAACAACAGAUUGCAGAAAUGGAGGCUAUCCUAGGGCCGACAUCCAACACUCCUGUAUCAAUGUAUUAUGGAAAUCCGGUAACCUUGUUCCCUACUUUAUCUUCAUCCUAUCUGAGUGAGAAUGCUAGUCCAACCACAUUUGGAGCUAUUGUUCAAUCAGAAUUUGUGCUCGGGGAGGAUGAUUGGCACUGCUCGACACAAUAGGGAUCUUUACUUGCUUGAUGAUGAUGCCCCCUCUAGUAGUAUUUCUAAGACCAGUCUUUUAUCUUCCUACUAUGCCACUUGUCGUGGCAUUUCCGUUUAGGCUAUUCCAACUUUAAAUAUAUGAAAUAACUAUUUCCUCGUCUUUUUUC